GAUGAACGCUGGCGGCGUGCCUAAUACAUGCAAGUCGAGCGACCGGACGAGAAGCUUUCCUCUCUGAUGUUAGCGGCGGACGGGUGUGUAACACGUGGAUAACCCACCUAUAAUACUGGGAUAACUUCGGGAAAACGGCGCUAAUAUCCGACAAUAUUUUGAACCGCAUGGUUCAAAAGUGAAAGACGGUCUUGCUGUCACUUAUAGAUUGCUCCGCGCUGCAUUAGCUAGUUGGUAAGGUAACGGCUUACCAAGGCAACGAUGCGUAGCCGACGUGAGAGGGUGAGCGGCCACACUAGAACGGAGACACGGUACAGACUCCUACGGGAGGCAGCGGUAGGGAAUCGUCCGCAAUGGGCGAAAGCCUGACGGAGCAACGCCACGUGAGGGAUGAAGGGCUUCGGAUCGUAAAACUCUGCUAUUAGGGAAGAACAUAUGUGUAAGUAACUGGGCACAUCUUGACGGUACCGAAUCAAAAAGCCACGGCUAACUACGUG
rnacentral:rRNA from 1 species